AAAUAGAUACCCUGGUAGUCCACGCCGUAAACGAUGAGUGCUAAGUGUUGGGGGGUUUCCGCCCCUCAGUGCUGCAGCUAACGCAUUAAGCACUCCGCCUGGGGAGUACGGUCGCAAGACUGAAACUCAAAGGAAUUGACGGGGGCCCGCACAAGCGGUGGAGCAUGUGGUUUAAUUCGAAGCAACGCGAAGAACCUUACCAGGUCUUGACAUCCCGGUGACCACUAUGGAGACAUAGUUUCCCCUUCAGGGGCAACGGUGACAGGUGGUGCAUGGUUGUCGUCAGCUCGUGUCGUGAGAUGUUGGGUUAAGUCCCGCAACGAGCGCAACCCUUAUUCUUAGUUGCCAUCAUUCAGUUGGGCACUCUAAGGAGACUGCCGGUGAUAAACCGGAGGAAGGUGGGGAUGACGUCAAAUCAUCAUGCCCCUUAUGACCUGGGCUACACACGUGCUACAAUGGACGGUACAAACGGUUGCCAACCCGCGAGGGGGAGCUAAUCCGAUAAAACCGUUCUCAGUUCGGAUUGUAGGCUGCAACUCGCCUA
rnacentral:rRNA from 1 species